UACGAGGGGGGCGAGCGUUGUUCGGAAUUAUUGGGCGUAAAGGGUGCGUAGGCGGUUUGGUAAGUCUUGUGUGAAAUCUACAGGCUCAACUUGUAGUCUGCACGAGAAACUGCCGGGCUUGAGUGUGGGAGAGGUGAGUGGAAUUCCUGGUGAGCGGUGAAAUGCGUAGAUAUCAGGAGGAACACCUGUGGCGAAAGCGGCUCACUGGACCAUAACUGACGCUGAUGCACGAAAGCUAGGGGAGCAAACAGG
rnacentral:rRNA from 1 species